GAUGAAGAACGCAGCGAAACGCGAUAAGUAAUGUGAAUUGCAGAAUCCAGUGAAUCAUCGAAUCUUUGAACGCACAUUGCGCCCGCCAGCAUUCUGGCGGGCAUGCCUGUUCGAGCGUCAUUUCAACCCUCGACCUCCCCUUGGGGAGGUCGGCGUUGGGGACCGGCAGCACACCGCCGGCCCUGAAAUGGAGUGGCGGCCCGUCCGCGGCGACCUCUGCGCAGUAAUACAGCUCGCACCGGGACCCCGACGCGGCCACGCCGUAAAACACCCAACUUCUAAACGUUGACCUCGAAUCAGGUAGGACUACCCGCUGAACUUAAGCAUAUCAAUAAGCGGAGGA
rnacentral:misc_RNA from 1 species